UGGUGCCCUCCCCGGUAUCUCUCUCUCUCUCUCUCUCUCUCUCUCUUAUAUACACACAAUCAAUCACCGCCAAAUCUCACCUCACCUCACUACACCACAGGCGCUUACCACCGGGAAGCAUUCGACGUCGCACAUUGCCAUCGCCACCGUCACAAAUCGCCAUCGUUGCAAAUCACUACCGCCACUGCCGCAAUACCAGGUUAUAUCUCACUCUUUCUCUUAGUCUCACGCUCUCUCUCGUUCUCGUUCUCGAGCUUGCCGUGUCCCCAAAUCGUAUAAAACUUGCCCUAUCACCUUUCACUCUUAUUUCCCAAAUCUGUCUCGAUCUCGCUCUCUCUCUCUCUCUCUCUAUCGAUUUUGCUCUCGAUAUUCCUCUCUUGAUUUCGCUCUGUUUCUCGCUCUAUAAAUUGCCAUGGUCGUCUGAAUAAGAGACCUCCAACGGUACGAACUCCCUCAAUUUCUUUAUCUGGUCUUUGGAUUCAUGAAUGGGAUGCUCACUGUUGGUGAGCAUGGCUUCUUUCAUUUGCUUGACAAUUUUGCCAAUAAUAUUUUAUACAAGGAAAACCAUCAAAGGCAGUUGUGGAUAUCCAGUAUUCAAUGUUGCAACAAAAUUUGUCUAUAGCUAAUCCAAAAAAGGGAUUAAAGUCAAACCUGGCUCACCAUACACUUGCCAACUUGAUCAGGGAGUAAAGCUUCACAUAUCUCAGGCAACACUAGGCCUUGGUUCAUCUACAAGGAGAAACAUACUUAAAGGUGCUCCAAAAGAUAAGUGUGCAGUGUUCCUGUGUUCACUAAUGGUAGGGAACAAGUGCUCAUGCAAGUUGAAUUUGGAGUUAACUAGUAAUGAUGAAGUAACCUUCUCAGUUGUGGGCCCUCAAAGCAUUCAUCUCGUUGGUUUCCUCACCAGUGAUGUUGAUUCAAGAAUCAAAAUCCAGUAAAAUAUAGAAGUUUGAGCCCCCAAUCAUAUACAUUGUGGUGUACAGAAAAAAGAGUAGUGAAAACUCAAUGGCUCUGGCAUUGUGGAGUAGCUUAAAGGGCAGCAUGGUAUAUUGAGAGACUGUAUUGAAUAGCUAACGGCAGUUGAAUCAUCAAGAACAAAUCUUGUGUCUUAUCUGAGAGAGGCUCUUCGGGAGCAGGAAUUCAAAUUGGAUCAAAUCAUCAAUCAACUUCAGAAUCGUUCCUAGCUGCUACACAUGAACUUCAGCGUAUAUAUGGAAAGGAUGAAGGGAAACAAUUGUUGUAAAGUUGCCUUGUUCAAAUAUAAAGAUGGCUUUUGGCGUGGACUUGUGGAUAGUCUACAUUUUUUUUUAUGGAGGACACUUACACUUUUGUAUAAUCCUGCUAACUAUGUCUUCCUCUGCUUUUGUGAAAGUAUUUUUUGUAUAUAGAGGGCUUUGAUUUUUGUAUGAUUCUAUAUUUUGUAUGGAAUUAUUAUUUUAGUUUGGACAAUAGUUGGUUUGUAUGAACUUUGACAUUUAAAGUCAUUCAUUUUUUGUAUAUGGAUGCAGAUU